rnacentral:rRNA from 1 species
AGAGCGAACGCUGGCGGCAGGCCUAACACAUGCAAGUCGAGCGGCCGUAGCAAUACGGCAGCGGCAGACGGGAGAGUAACACGUGGGAACGUGCCCAUCAGUUCGGAACAACCCAGGGAAACUUGGGCUAAUACCGGAUACGCCCUUACGGGGAAAGAUUUAUCGCUGAUGGAGCGGCCCGCGUCUGAUUAGCUAGUUGGUGAGGUAACGGCUCACCAAGGCGACGAUCAGUAGCUGGUCUGAGAGGAUGAUCAGCCUCACUGGGACUGAGACACGGCCCAGACUCCUACGGGAGGCAGCAGUGGGGAAUAUUGGACAAUGGGCGCAAGCCUGAUCCAGCCAUGCCGCGUGGAUGAUGAAGGCCUAGGUUGUAAAAUCUUUCGGCGGGAAGAUAAUGACGGUACCCGCAGAAGAAGCCCGGCUAACUUCGUGCAGCAGCCGC